CAACAGAUAUCAGCUCCACAACUUCUGAAAUGACCUCAACAACAUCUACCACUCCGACAACUAUUCCUGUUUCAACAUUUACAACUGGUCUAUCAUCAACCUCAACAUCACUCACUUCAGGGACAGUGAGCACAGAAGUAUCUACAACCACCGAGAGCUCCACUCCAACACAAACAAGUGAAACGACUACUGAUAUCAGUUCCACAACUUUGGAAAUUACCUCAACAACAUCUACCACUCCGA